ensembl:lncRNA novel transcript, antisense to DPYSL3
AUUUAAUUUAGCUCCUAAGCCUACCCAGGACUGUGUCUCAGAGUCAGACUGACCUGGGUUCAAGUCCAUGUUCCCACCUUUUUAAAGCCCCUGCUUUCCUAUCUGCUAAAUGUGACCAAGUUUGUAUUCUCUAGAUUAAAAGAAGCCAUUGGUUGUUAGAUGCAGUGUUAAUUCUCAAAUUUUGAGGCAAAUUAAAAUUUGAGGCAAAAGAAAAUAAAAUAUACAUAUUGAUUUCAA